UGGUGCAUUUGUGCCUGACAGCCUGACUUGCCUCAGGGAAGCAGCUGCGGCCUAGCCCUAUGACUCAGUCACCUGUAACCUUGGAACUCUCUCCAGAUUGUGUUCAGCUGCUGGGGUGGGUCCGGAUGUUGGGGGAUGAGGUAAGCCACUUUCAAAUGAAUGCUAUCAGAAGCAAUUCCUUGCCUGAAGGAAGCCCGAGAGAAGACUUCACUUCACACUGAGGUGGCCCUUUGGUGGGAAGAAACAAUCAAUUUCCUGUAAGAAGAUCUUCCGCAAGGCACAUAUUUAUCAAUUGCGUAGUGCAAUCUAGAGAAUGUACUUGUAUGACUUGGAAUGCAGAAGACCCAGAUCUGGCUGCCCACAGCAAGGACAUUCAUGCAGCGUACCUUCAAAUCAAUCAACCUUUAUUACGGUCUUUGACUCUAAU